ACGAACGCUGGCGGCAGGCUUAACACAUGCAAGUCGAGCGCCUCGCAAGAGGAGCGGCAGACGGGUGCGUAACGCGUGGGAAUCUACCCAUCUCUACGGAACAACUCCGGGAAACUGGAGCUAAUACCGUAUACGUCCUUCGGGAGAAAGAUUUAUCGGAGAUGGAUGAGCCCGCGUUGGAUUAGCUAGUUGGUGGGGUAAUGGCCUACCAAGGCGACGAUCCAUAGCUGGUCUGAGAGGAUGAUCAGCCACACUGGGACUGAGACACGGCCCAGACUCCUACGGGAGGCAGCAGUGGGGAAUAUUGGACAAUGGGCGAAAGCCUGAUCCAGCCAUGCCGCGUGAGUGAUGAAGGCCCUAGGGUUGUAAAGCUCUUUCAACGGUGAAGAUAAUGACGGUAACCGUAGAAGAAGCCCCGGCUAACUUCGU
rnacentral:rRNA from 1 species